CCCCACUGCUAUCGAGGUGGGACUAAGCCAUGCCAGUCGAACGACCCGGACUAUGGCGGGGAGUGGCAGACUGCUCAGUAACACGUAGCUAACCUACCCUCGGGACGGGGAUAACCCCGGGAAACUGGGGCUAAUACCCGAUAGGUGUGGAUUCCUGGAAUGGUGCCAUGCCUAAACGUAAGCACAUCCAUGUUUGUGUGCACGCCCGAGGAUGGGGCUGCGGCCGAUCAGGCAGUUGGUGAGGUAACGGCUCACCAAACCUUUGACCGGUACGGGCCAUGAGAGUGGUAGCCCGGAGAUGGGCACUGAGACAAGGGCCCAGGCCCUACGGGGCGCAGCAGGCGCGAAACCUCCACAAUUCACGCAAGUGAGAUGGGGUUACCUCGAGUGCCAUCUGAAGAAGGUGGCUUUUCCAUGGUGUAAUGAGCCGUGGGAAUAAGGGGGGGGCAAGACUGGUGUCAGCCGCCGCGGUAACACCAGCCCCCCGAGUGGUGGGGAUGAUUAUUUGGCCUAAAGCGUCCGUAGCCAGCUCGGUAAAUCUCUCGUUAAAUCCAGCGUCCUAAGCGUUGGGCUGCGAGGGAAACUGCCGAACUAGAGGGUGGGAGAGGUCAGCGGUAUUCCUGGGGUAGGGGCGAAAUCCAUUGAUCCCAGGAGGACCACCAGUGGCGAAGGCUGCUGACUAGAACACGCCUGACGGUGAGGGACGAAAGCUGGGGUAGCGAACCGGAUUAGAUACCCGGGUAGUCCCAGCUGUAAACGAUGCGGGCUAGGUGUCGGCGUGGCUACGAGCCACUCCGGUGCCGCAGGGAAGCUCAUAAGCCCGCCGCCUGGGAAGUACGGUCGCAAGGCUGAAACUUAAAGGAAUUGGCGGGGGAGCACCACCAGGGGUGAAGCUUGCGGUUC
rnacentral:rRNA from 1 species